rnacentral:lncRNA from 1 species
AUGGGCUCCGCAAGUGGAAAUCUUGGGGCACAAAGCUGUUGGAGGAUUUGUAUCACAUUGUGGAUGGAAUUCUACCUUAGAAAGUAUUUUGUCUGGUGUCCCAAUGGCAACAUGGCCAUUGUAUGGAGAGCAACAAUUUAAUGCUUUUGAAAUGGUAAUUGAGCUAGGGCUAGCAGUGGAGAUUAAAAUAGAUUCUAGAAGGGAUUUUUCUAAAGAUGGUAUAAUUGUGAGUUCUGAUGAUAUAAAAAGAGGAUUAAAGUUAGUAAUGGAGCCUGAUAACGAGAUUAGAAAAAAGGUGAAAGAGAUGAGUCAACUAAGCAGGAAAGCUUUAAUGGAAGAUGGGUCGUCAUACUCUGCAUUGGCUCAUCUGAUUGAAGAUAUUAUGGGCAACUAUAAGUAGCAUUGUAAAUCUAAGUACCGAAAUUGUAAUAAGAUAAUAAAUAAAAGUUCAAAUUACUUUAAAUAUAGUGGAUCAUCCCUUGGCAUUAAUUUGGUUUAGUUAUCUAAAUUAAUAAUAAUAUUUUUCCAUCCGUUUGGUUGGAAUUUUUCCAGUCAUUUGGGCUUUUAGCUCAAAAUUAUAGUUUGGGCGGCUGGAAUUUUCAACUGGACAACUAAUAUUGAUCCGGUCUGUUUAAUUCUGACUUAGCACACCUUUUAUAUAUAUAAUUACUUAUAAGCAUACGCAAGGUUUUUUGUAUGCAGAGCAAACACCAUUAUAUAUGCUGAUGACACUAUGUAUUACCAGCAUUUUUUUUUUGUUUUAACGUGGGUAUCCGGGCCAGCUUGCGCGCACCUCGACUAAUCCCACAGGCCCUGAAGUUAACGACCAUGUAAGCCUCCAGUGGCCAUCAUAUGAGCAACCACAGGGCUCGAACCUGAGACCACAGAGGGAGCAAACCUCUUGGUCCCAAACUCUUACCACUAGGCGUAUUACCAGCAUUUUUAUCUAUAGUAUACAUGGCAUAAUCCAAUAACCAAUAAUAACUAUGAAUAGCCAAUAGUAACGCAUAAAUUUUAAAUUAUUGAGAAUUUAGCUUUUUAAUUGAACUCAGGUUAAGAAUUUUAUGGGUUGCAAGUUUUGAAAAUUAACCCAAAUUUAGAAGGUUCAUUUGGAUUUGCUUGGCUUUUUUAUUAUUUUUUUCAGCUCAAGUUUUUUUAAAAUUUUAUAAAUAAGCAUUUAUUCAAUUGGAGAUUAGAUUCUUUUAUUUUUAUUUCUUUGUUUUCUAUAAAAAAAAUUUAUUAUUUUUGAAAAUGACUCGGGUUAUUGGGUUAUCUUAGUUAUUUUUAUUUAUUUUUCUUUGUUGAAUUUACUUUGAAAAAAAAAUUAAUUGAUUUUUUUUCGAUUUCAUCCUUCAAUAUUAGAUUGGUUGGGAAUUAAUUUUUUUUUCAGUUCAAUCCUUUACGGUUAGAGUUUUUUUAUAUUGGACUUCAUGAUUUUUUUCGAUUUAUUUUCUAUUCGAUUAUCUCAGUUCUAUCAUUUAGAGACCAUAGGUUUGGUGGGUUAGCCUAUGUUGACUUAGGGUUUUUUAGGAUAUUUUUUUAUUUAAUAUUUUUCAUGUUUUAUUCUUCAACAGUACUAGGUUGUUUUAGAAUUAACCUUUGUAAUCUUUUUCGGUUUGUCUUCUAUUAGGUUAUCUUAUUUGCAUGAUUUAGAUCGCAAAGUUUGGUUAACUCACCCAAUUUGCUUAUUUGUUUUUUUUAUUUUUUAAUUGAUUUUUUUUUAAUUUCAUCAUUCUAUGCUGGAGUUGGACUUUGGUAUUUUUUUACUUUAUAUUGACAUAUCUUGGUCUUAUGACUUAGCUUGAGUAUUUGACAUGCUCAUUUAAGUUGGUUCACAGUGGUUUUUUCUUCUUUUUUUUCUAUUUUUUAUUUUUUUCUUUUUAAUUGGCUAAAUCUUAGUUUAUAUCAUCUUUUUUUUAUUUUAGCAACUUUUUUUUUUAGAUUCUCAUGAUUUGUUUUUUAAUUUAAAAUGAUUUAAUUUUUAUUUUAUUAUCUAAUUAAAUUAUACCAAUUUCUUUCUUGAUGUGAACCCACAAAUCUAGCAGACAUUGAAAAUCGAGAAAAUUAAUACUUCUCAAAUUUUCAAAUCCUUCUCAAAUAAUAUAGAAAAUUAACUCUUCUUAAAAGAUGAUUAAUUUGGUAUUGUUUCGUUCACAAUAUAAUUUUAGUUGAUCCUUGUUGAGAAACAGAAUUCCCUAAGAAAUUGUGUGUACCCAAAUGACUUGAGAAAAUAGCUGACAGACUCUGCGUGUCUCUGUUUCUAUUGAAUUGUAUAUUAUUUCCUCUAUAAUUAUUUAGGUCUUCCUUUGUAUGCAUAACCAAUACAGCAAGAGUUAUAUCCUUGUACGGAGAAGUAUUUAAAAUAAUCAAUAGAAAACACAUUACUCUAACAUAAACAUAUAUUCGGUAAUAGAAAAGCAUUUUCCAUUUUCUUUUUCGGUUUUGUUCUUUUAGUUUUUAUUUUCACAAAAAUUAAAAAAAUUAUUUAUUUUAGCAACUCAGAAAACUAUAAAAUAUAUUCAUAGUGUUUUAUAAGGAGAAAAAUGACAAAGUAAUUAUUGUGUUCAAAUUAAUUUGUUUUUCUAGACAUUCUUUAUAUUUUAACAUAAACAUAUAUUUGUUUCUCAUCUUAAAUAUCUCAUUCAUUUUUCAUUUAUUUAUUAUUGUUUUGAGGGAAAAGUUUUUAAUAUUAUAUUUCUCUCUGAUUAAGAGACUACCUCCUAUACUAACACCUCUAAAACAGAACCUGAGAAACGACCGAGAAAACCCAAUGAUACUCAAUCCUCAUAAUAAAAAGAAAAUACCAUAAAUUUUAUCCUCAAUAAUUAUAAAAAAUCUAUAUUACAACUCUCCUCUUAAAUAAUGCAAAUAAAAUCCUAAAUUAACUAGAAAAUUAUGAUCAAUCCCAGUAGUAUAUUUUGGAGGCCUUAAUUUGUAGAUUUAAUGUUUGUGAAUAUAUUAGAAUAUUAUCUAUGAAUUUAAACUCUAGAUUUAAGAAAAAAAAUCAAAACUUAAAAGAAAAGGAAAUUACUAAAAUAUAAGGUUAAGAAAAAUAUGUAAAAAUCUACAAAUUUCAAAUUUAAAACUUUUUAUUUUUACAAUGAAUUUUAAAAGUUAAGAGGUUGAAAAAUUAAUUUUUACCAUUAUUAAUAUUUGCUUAGUCAUUAUAAAUUAAUGAUUAAAUCUAAAAAAAUUAGAGUGUUUUUUAGUAAGAAAACCAAAGAUUUUUAAAAAUUAAUUUUUUAUUCACUCAUAAUUUAUUUAAAUUAUUUUAAUUAAGAUAAAUUUCCAACAUAACUACUUCAUAUGGCUAAAAAAAAAAAUUAACCUUAUAGGAAUGAGAAUUUCUAGAUUCUACGUCAUUAAUACGGUUAAUUGUGGCAGAUUUUGUGCCACACCCACAAAGCCAGUCAAUGCCAGCAAAGCCACGCAAUUGUUCACUUUCCAACAAGAUCAGUUCCAACAUUAUAUGGUCCAGACAAAAAAACACCUAAAGAAUUAUCUCUUCCAAUUUUAUGCCUACUCCAUUCCAUAUUUGAUCUGUCUGUAUAGUACAAAGUAAUUGCAAAAUCUUUGCAAAUUGCAACCAAAAUGAAGAUAGCGGAGCUGGUGUUCAUCCCAUUUCCAGCCAUGGGCCAUGUGGUACCAGCAGUGGAAACAGCUAAACUUCUUGUUGAAUUUGACAAUCGAGUUUCCACCACUGUUCUUCUAAUGAAACCAGCUAUUGACUCGAGUACCAUCAAGUAUACCGAGUCACUUGCUGCAUCAACUUUGCCUGACCGUAUGCGAUUCAUUGAAUUGCCUUCUCUUGAUGAACUCAGAUCAAGAAAAGGUAUUUGGCUAGAUUCUUUGAUAGAGGGUCAAAAACCCCAUGUCAGAGAAUUUGUUUCGAAGAUCGUUUCAAAGUCCGAUCUGAGCCCUGACUCGCCUCGACUUGCUGGAUUUGUUUUUGAUGCGUUUUGCACGGGAAUGAAAGAUUUGGCCGAUGAAUUUGGUGUUCCCUGGUACGUUUUCUCUUCCUCAGGAGCAGCUUUUCUUGGUUGCUUGUCAUAUUUACAGGUUCUUCAUGAUGAGCAGAACAUGGACAUAACUGAGUUCAAGAACUCAGAUGCUAUGUUAGAAAUUCCGAGUUUUGUGAACCCAAUGGCUGCUAGGCUUCUGCCAUCUAUGACGUUUAGGAAAGAUUCGGUCCUUGUUUUGGUCGGCGCUGCUAGAAGGUUAAGGGAAGCUAGUGGUAUUGUUGUAAAUACAUUUAUAGAGUUGGAAUCCUAUGCAGUUAACUCCCUUUCUAAAAUUGGCAUCCCACCGUUGUAUCCAGUGGGACCCAUUGUGAAUGUGGGGUCAGAUAAAAGCAAUGACAAUAGAGAAAUUAUGGAAUGGCUUGAUGAUCAACCCCCAUCAUCUGUAGUGUUCUUGUGCUUUGGAAGCCUGGGAAGUUUUUGUGUGGAUCAGGUGAAAGAGAUUGCAUAUGCUCUCGAACACAGUGGGAAAAGAUUUUUAUGGGUUCUACAAAAACCUUCAAAAGGUAAGACGGAAUCCGCAAGUGAUUUUCAAGAAACUUUACCCGAAGGAUUUUUAGAUCGAACAACUGAGCUCGGAAAGGUGAUUGGUUGGGCUCCGCAGGCAGAAAUAUUAGCCCACCGAGCUAUCGGAGGGUUUGUUUCGCACUGCGGAUGGAAUUCUAUACUAGAAAGUAUAUACUUCGGUGUUCCAAUUGCUGCAUGGCCGAUAUACGCAGAACAGCAAUUUAAUGCUUUUCAAUUAGUGAUUGAAUUGGGAUUAGGAGGAGAGAUUAAGAUAGAUUACAUAGAGGGUUCUAACAGUGAUGGCUAUGAAAUUGUGAGUGCUGACAGUAUAAAGAAAGGAAUAGAGGGUAUAAUGGAGGACGAUAGUGAAAUAAGAAAACGGGUGAAAAAUAUGAGUCAAGUAAGCAAGCAAGCCUUGACUGCUGGUGGAUCUUCACACUCUUCACUGGGUCGUCUAAUUGCAGAUGUUAUGAGCAACAUUCCAUGAAGUAAUUGAUUUUCCUAGAGGAAAUUAUUUUGAAUAAGAUUUUAUAGGUUUAAGCUUCUAUUUAGAGCAGCUUAAUUAAUUGAGGAGCCUUCAGCAUGAGGAGGUUUUUCAAUUUUGCAUUAUUGUAAACUUAAAUUAUUAAGUUUGACAGAUGUAGUGGAGUCAUGAGACAUUUUACAAUUAAGAUGUUAGCUCACAACUUUAUAAUUAGUUUUCCUUCCACUUCUAUAUUAAGUGAAUUAUAUAUAACUGUAAUUAUAUUCAUAACAAUAAUUAUAUAGUAAGAAAAAAGAAUCGCACAUUUAGUUAAUAAAUAAUUUAAUUAUUCAAUUUAUAUUAUCAACAUUUUUUUUAGAAUUCAUUCUUCAAUCAAAAAUUAUAUUUUUUUUUUUUCAGUUUAGCUUUUAUUCUUUUGAUUUUUUUUUUACUGAUUUUUUUCUUUUUAAUUUAGCCCUCCAAUUUAAUUUUUAAAUGCCUUCAAAUUUAUUUUUUAUUUUGGUUUCCACCUUUAUUUUUUUUAUUUUUUAUGUGGUUGAUUUUUUUCAUAGUUACAUUCUUCGAUGGUUGAUUUAUUUGGAUUAAUUAAGCUUCACAGUUUUUUCAUUUGUCAUGCUUCUAAUUUAAUAACUACGGUCACAACUUUUAAGUGUUAAUACAAUUAGUAAUUUUUUUACCUCAUUUUAUUUUAUGAUUUUAUCAUUCUACAUUAUUUAAAAAAUAUUGUUUUGUGGUUACUUUCAUAUUUUUUUAUAUUUGUCUAUCUCGGUAUCAAUACAUAAACCACGGGUUUUGUAAAGUUGUUUUUGAAUAAUGGUUUUUUUGAAAGAAAAAAAACUGUUUUGUUUUGUGUUUAAUUUUUGCUAAUUUUUUAUUUUACUUUAUAAAAGUAGGUUUUGUUUUGUACAAAAAAAAAUAGUUAUUUUGAAAUAAUAUUUAUAAUAUGUUCAGCUAUGCAUAAUUAAUGAACAAAUUUAGUGGACACAAAUAAAUAAAUAUCUCAUUUUACAAGAUCAAAUAUCUUAAUCUACGUCUAUUUUUUAACUUUUCCUGUUUCUAUUUUAGUUAUUGUUAACAAAUUAUUUAUUUAUUUAAUCAUUAGAUGUUUGGAUAAAAAAAUUUUAUUUACACUUAUAAUUUUUAUUAUGUAAGAAAAAACAUUUCAAAAUAGUUUGUAUACUCAAGCUUUUUUAUGUUUUGAGAAAAAAUAUUACGACCCGCUAUGGAGCACAAAUCAAAUCAAAUUUUUAGUUGCCCUCUAAUUAAUUCUUUUUUCACCUUUAUUUUUUUAGAUCCUUUUGUGUAAUUGAUUUUUAUUUUUGAUUUCAUCUUUCAAUAUUUAAUUUGUUGGAGAUUCUGCUUCAUAUGAUCUUAUCAGUCUGCAUUUGUUUUUUUUAAAACAAUAUUAGUUUUGUAAUUAUCUUUAAUUUCUUUUCUAUAAAUUUAUUUCAUUCAUAUAAUUCAGGUCAUGGGUUUUGCAUGCCUUUUUUUAAUAUAAGUUUUUUAUAGAGUUGUUUGGUUUGUGUUUGGUUUUUCAAAAUGUUAUCCUAAUUCAUCUAGAAUUUUUUUGGGGUUUUAUACAAAUGAGGUUUAUUUUUUAAAAUAAAAAAUAUUAAUUUAAAUAUUUUUAAAUAAUAUUUAUUGAUGUAUUUUGGCCUUGUAUAAUAUUUUUUUUGGGUAUGAGUUUAUUUAGUCAAUUUUAUUUGUGUUUAUCUUUUAAGUCAUGAGUUUUUUAGGUUGUGGAUUUAUCUUUUAUUAAUUUUAAUAAACAAGUGUAUUAAACACAAUCACGUGAAUGUCUCAUUUUGUGUGGUAAAAUAUCUUGAUUUACAUCCAUUUCUCAAUUUUAUCAAUUUGUUUUUGGUUGUUGUUAAUGAUUUUUCGUUUAUUUAUAUAAAUAAUUAUUAAUUUAUUUAAUGAGAUAUUUACAUAAAUAUUUAAAUUUCAAAUUUCAAAUUUUUUUAUAUUAAAAAACAUCUACAUAGCGAAUAUUUAAAAAAAAAAUCAUAACAUGUGGCAAAGCGCGGCUUAAAUGGCUAUUCGUGUCCCAUUUGUUGAAACUUCACACUCGAAGAUGAUAUUUGAAACAAGAUCAGCCAUUCAUAUAUGCUAUCAAUCAAUAAUUCAGUACUUUCAUUUUCUUGUAGAAUAGUUGGCUAUAAUUACAUGUCCGGGAAUCAUUCAAACAAAGCAUGAACACUAGCUUAGCAACACCAAAUUUUAGCUAUGAAGAAAGCAGAGUUAGUGUUCAUCCCUUUACCUGCCAUGGGCCAUAUUAUAGCAGCAGUAGAGAUUGCCAAGCUUAUUGUUGAACGUGAUGAUCGAAUUUCCACAAGCGUCCUCAUAAUGAGGCCAACUCUUGACUCCACUACCACCAAAUACACUGAGUCACUCACUCCAUCAACUCUACCCAAUCGCAUGCGAGUCGUUGAUUUGCCCUGUCUUGAGCACACCGCUGUACAUAACACUGGUGCUAGCUGGAUGGCUUCUCUGGCUGAAGCUCACAAAAACCAUGUCAAAGAAUUUGUUUCCAAGAUCAAGGCUCAGUCAGAGUUGAGCCCAAAUGACUCUCCUCGAAUUGCUGGGUUUGUUUUGGAUACUUUUGUUUUGGGAAUGGAUGAUUUGGCUGGAGAAUUUGGUGUUCCCUGGUAUGUUUUCUCGGCUUCAGGUGCAGCUUUUAUCGGCUCGAUGUUGUAUCUUCAGGCCCUUCAUGAUGAGCAGAAAGCGGAUCUCCCUGAGUACAAAGACUCGGAUGCUGAGUUGGAAAUUCCAAGCUUGGUGAACAGGCUUCCUGCUAAGCUCCUGCCUUCUUUGGUGUUUAACAGAGAAUCUCUCCCUAUUUUUCUUGGUGCUGCAAGAAGGUUGAAGCACGCAAGGGGCAUUUUGAUAAAUACAUUCGAAGAGUUAGAAUCGCAUGCAAUAAACUCUCUUUCUAAGGGUGAAUCCCUCCUGUAUAUCCGUUGGGACCAGUUGUGAGAUGUAAAGGAAACAGCUAUGAUGUGGGAUCAAGUCAAAUCAACGACUACAAGGACAUAAUGCAAUGGCUUGAUGAUCAGCCUCCAUGCUCAGUAGUGUUUUUGUGCUUCGGGAGUUGGGGAAGUUUCAGCGUUGAUCAAGUGAAAGAGACUGCAUAUGCAUUGGAGCAAUGUGGACAUCGAUUCUUGUGGUGUCUGCGUGAACGUCCAUGCAAGGGUAAGAUUGAAUCACCAAGUGAUUAUGUAAAUUUUCAAGACAUUUGCCUGAAGGGUUUUUAGAUCGAUCAGUUAAGAUAGGAAAGGUGAUUAAAUGGGCUCCGCAAGUGGAAAUCUUGGGGCACAAAGCUAUUGGAGGAUUUGUAUCACAUUGUGGAUGGAAUUCUACCUUAGAAAGUACUUUGUCUGGUGUACCAAUUGCCACAUGGCCAUUGUAUGGAGAGCAACAAUUUAAUGCUUUCGAAAUAGUGAUUGAGUUAGGGUUAGGAGUGGAGAUUAAAAUAGAUUCUGGAAUUGAUAUUAUCGAAGGUGCUAUC